GGGAGUUAUAUCGGAAUAGCUUUCGCAUCCCUGGCUCUAUCGAUCCUCCUGCGUAUUCUGAUAGUUUGCACGUGGAUUGGAUGCGAGAAGAGUUUCACUCAUGACUGAUUUUGAAAUCCGAAUCUGCAACAGUGAACUCAUGUCUAAGAAUCAUUAUCCCUCACCUCCAGAUAUUUACCUUGGAACAGAGUCACAGUGGGCGACAUGUUGGAUGCAUGUAUGUGAAAAGCUUUCAAGACUUCGAAGAAACGGUGUGUACACUCCUGCAACUGCAGGUUUCGAUAACUCAACCAUCGUGAGCGAAUAUGUCCAAACAGAGAAGACAAGAGAGUGAAAGAGUUCUCAGAAGAGCAGAGGACAAGAUCACAGAACAUUCAACAUUAGGGUCGCUGCUAACUUGUGUCUCGUCGACCGCUUUGCCUCCUAAUGCAAAGAUCAUUUUUAUUUCCGUUUGGACUCCAUAUAUUAUUAAUCGACAUAAAAAGUGAAAUAUAAUAGCAUGCUCAUAAUGGCUGAAUUGGAAAGUGAUGACACUGACUUUACAAUGAUUAAAAAGUAGAAGCAUUCAACACGGGUUCGUUUUAGUAAUUUGCACCGAGUUAUUUAAAGAUACUACUUCGUUCUAUACUGGGAGUGUUUUACAACCUAC